GUUNUGGGGANAUUCCACGGUUUCCGUGACGCAGCUAACGCAUUAAGUUCCCCGCCUGGGGAGUACGGCCGCAAGGCUAAAACUCAAAGGAAUUGACGGGGACCCGCACAAGCGGCGGAGCAUGCGGAUUAAUUCGAUGCAACGCGAAGAACCUUACCAAGGCUUGACAUAUACGAGAACGGGCCAGAAAUGGUCAACUCUUUGGACACUCGUAAACAGGUGGUGCAUGGUUGUCGUCAGCUCGUGUCGUGAGAUGUUGGGUUAAGUCCCGCAACGAGCGCAACCCUCGUUCUAUGUUGCCAGCACGUAAUGGUGGGAACUCAUGGGAUACUGCCGGGGUCAACUCGAAGGAAGGUGGGGAUGACGUCAAAUCAUCAUGCCCCUUAUGUCUUGGGCUUCACGCAUGCUACAAUGGCCGGUACAAAGGGCUGCAAUACCGUGAGGUGGAGCGAAUCCCAAAAAGCCGGUCCCAGUUCGGAUUGAGGUCUGCAACUCGACCUCAUGAAGUCGGAGUCGCUAGUAAUCGCAGAUCAGCAACGCUGCGGUGAAUACGUUCCCGGGUCUUGUACACACCGCCCGUCAAGUCAUGAAAGUCGGUAACACCUGAAGCCGGUGGNNCUAACCCUUGNGG
rnacentral:rRNA from 1 species